rnacentral:rRNA from 1 species
UUCCAGACUCCUACGGGAGGCAGCAGUGAGGAAUAUUGGUCAAUGGGCGCAAGUCUGAACCAGCCAUGCCGCGUGCAGGAAGACGGCUCUAUGAGUUGUAAACUGCUUUUGUACGAGGGUAAACGCAGAUACGUGUAUCUGUCUGAAAGUAUCGUACGAAUAAGGAUCGGCUAACUCCGUGCCAGCAGCCGCGGUAAUACGGAGGAUUCAAGCGUUAUCCGGAUUUAUUGGGUUUAAAGGGUGCGCAGGCGGCACGGCAAGCCGGCGGUCAAAUCGCGGGGCUCAACCCCGCCCAGCCGUCGGAACUGCCGGGCUAGAGUGGGCGAGAAGUGCGCGGAAUGCGUGGUGUAGCGGUGAAAUGCAUAGAUAUCACGCAGAACUCCGAUUGCGAAGGCAGCGCACCGGCGCCCUACUGACGCUCAGGCACGAAAGCGUGGGUAUCGAACAGGAUUAGAUACCCCUGUAG